UGUAAUGUCUAACUUAGCCAAUUUUUAUCUAGAUUUGUGAUUUUGGGCUCGCAAAAUGGCUGCCAAAAGAAUGGACUCACCACACUGUAUCAAAAUUUGAAGGCACAUUUGGCUAUUUUGCUCCGGAAUACUUCAUGUAUGGAAUAGUGGAUGAGAAAACUGAUGUGUUUUCUUUCGGGGUGCUACUGUUAGAACUCAUUACAGGCCGUGAAGCUUUGGAUGAUUCACAGCAAAGCCUGGUGCUUUGGGCAAAGCCUUUGCUCGAUAACAAUAAUGUCAAGCAACUUGUGGAUCCUUCUCUUGGUGAUAAUUAUGACCUAGAAGAGAUGGAUCGUGUCAUCUUAACUGCCUCUUUGUGCAUAGAGCAGAGUCCAAUUCUACGUCCUCGAAUGAAUCAGGCAUGUAACCUUUUACAAGGACAUAAUUUUCAUUACCUUUUGAUCCAUGGUUAAAUCAGGUUCGCAUUCACACAAGUAUUUCAGUGAUAAACCCUGUUUUUCCGCAGAUAAUGACAUUUCUGAUUUCAAUGUGUAAACUAGUGAAUAAUAAAUUCAGAAUUUGAUAUGCAACCAUUUUAAGACUGCUGCUUUUUUAGUUUCUUUGCUUCUUAUUCAUAU